GUGGGGAAUAUUGGUCAAUGGGCGAAAGCCUGAACCAGCCAAGUAGCGUGCAGGAUGACGGCCCUAUGGGUUGUAAACUGCUUUUAUAGGGGAAUAAAGUUAUCCACGUGUGGAUAUUUGCAUGUACCCUAUGAAUAAGGACCGGCUAAUUCCGUGCCAGCAGCCGCGGUAAUACGGAAGGUCCGGGCGUUAUCCGGAUUUAUUGGGUUUAAAGGGAGCGUAGGCGGUAUAUUAAGCGUGUUGUGAAAUGUAGGUGCUCAACAUCUGACUUGCAGCGCGAACUGGUUUACUUGAGUACGCACAACGUAGGCGGAAUUCGUCGUGUAGCGGUGAAAUGCUUAGAUAUGACGAAGAACUCCGAUUGCGAAGGCAGCUUACGGGAGCGCAACUGACGCUGAAGCUCGAAAGUGCGGGUAUCGAACAGG
rnacentral:rRNA from 1 species